GAAAGCUUGCUUUCUUUGCUGACGAGCGGCGGACGGGUGAGUAAUGCCUAGGGAACUGCCCAGUCGAGGGGGAUAACAGUUGGAAACGACUGCUAAUACCGCAUACGCCCUACGGGGGAAAGGAGGGGCUCUUCGGACCUUUCGCGAUUGGAUGUACCUAGGUGGGAUUAGCUUGUUGGUGAGGUAAGAGCUCACCAAGGCGACGAUCCCUAGCUGUUCUGAGAGGAUGAUCAGCCACACUGGGACUGAGACACGGCCCAGACUCCUACGGGAGGCAGCAGUGGGGAAUAUUGCACAAUGGGCGAAAGCCUGAUGCAGCCAUGCCGCGUGUGUGAAGAAGGCCUUCGGGUUGUAAAGCACUUUCAGCGAGGAGGAAAGGUUAACGGUUAAUACCCGUUAGCUGUGACGUUACUCGCAGAAGAAGCACCGGCUAAGUUGGUGCCAGCAGCCGCGGUAAUACGAGGGGUGCAAGCGUUAAUCGGAAUUACUGGGCGUAAAGCGUACGCAGGCGGUUUGUUAAGCGAGAUGUGAAAGCCCCGGGCUCAACCUG
rnacentral:rRNA from 1 species